rnacentral:lncRNA from 1 species
GAUGAUUUUUUGUGGAUUAUGCUUUUGUUGCUCCCUCUUUUGCUGAUGUCAAAAAGGGGGAGAAAUAUAUAUGAUAUCUUUGCUAUGCAGGAUGACUCGAUGUGACUUUAUGUGCCUAUGCUAUGGCAUAGUUAUUAUUAUAUUUGCAAAGGACAAGUUGACUAUUUGACAAGUUGACUUCAUUAUGUACUUCGUAUAUCUGUUAGAUAAUCCUUUACAGGUCCCAGUCGACUGCAUCUAAUGAGGG